rnacentral:rRNA from 1 species
CCAAGGAGUCUAACAUGUGCGCGAGUCAUGGGGUUCUUUACGAAACCUAAAAGGCACAAUGAAAGUGAAGGCCAGCCUCCGGUCGGCCCUAGGUAGGAUCCCCGGUCUCUCAAGCGGCCGGGGCGCACUACCGGCCCGUCCCGUCCACAUCGUUGGUGGGGCGGAGCAAGAGCGUACACGUUGGGACCCGAAAGAUGGUGAACUAUGCCUGAGUAGGACGAAGCCAGAGGAAACUCUGGUGGAGGUCCGUAGCGAUUCUGACGUGCAAAUCGAUCGUCAAACUUGGGUAUAGGGGCGAAAGACUAAUCGAACCAUCUA